UACGGAGGGUGCAAGCGUUAAUCGGAAUUACUGGGCGUAAAGCGCACGUAGGUGGCUGAAUAAGUCUGAUGUGAAAGCCCUGGGCUUAACCUGGGAACUGCAUUGGAUACUGUUCGGCUCGAGUAUGGUAGAGGGAAGUGGAAUUCCGGGUGUAGCGGUGAAAUGCGUAGAUAUCCGGAGGAACACCAGUGGCGAAGGCGGCUUCCUGGACCAAUACUGACACUGAGGUGCGAAAGCGUGGGUAGCAAACAGG
rnacentral:rRNA from 1 species